ACCGUUUCUUGGCCUUUUGGGUAAGAUCAAGUGUAGUAUGUGUUCUUAUCAGUUUGUUAUCUGAUACGUCUUCUAUCCAAGGACAAUAUAUUAAAUGGAUUUUUGGAGCUAGGAGUCAGAAUAGGAGCUUGCUCCAUCUGCUCCAUGCAUUGACCUGGUAUUGCAGUACUUCCAGGAAUGGUGCAAGAAAG